AAAGAGAGAAACAAUAAGAUCCAACGAAGUACUUACAUGGUGUGUGGUAGCAGCUCACAGUGCUACUUAUAAUUCACUUACUUCUCUCUCCCGAGCUUGAUAAGACUGCUGAGAAUGUCUGAGCGAUGGCAAGAACUUGAGUAAAGCAUUGUCUCUGAAUACAGCAGGAACCCUGCAAGAUUCAAAUCAGAUUUUGGAUCUGCCAUGAUCAAAAUGGGAGAUAUAGGACUUCUCACUGGAUCUGCCGGGCAGAUAAGGAGGGUUUGCAGCGCUGUCAACAUAUGCCAAGAUCUAUUGAGCCAAAGUUUGUGGGAAGGGCUUCGACAUUGGUGAGUAAAGAAAUGAAGUUAUAUGUUCAUUGACUAAUCUAUGAGUAUCAUCAAGGUUAGCCUCAGAUCUGGUUUGUUCUUCACAUAAAAGACUAUCAAGUGUCCAGCACUCUCAGCCUUUCACUUCACCUCGUUGUCAUCCAUAAAUGCACAAAGACUAUCAAGUGUCCAGCACUCUCAGCCUUUCACUUCACCUAAAAGACUAUCAAGUGUCCAGCACUCUCAGCCUUUCAUUUCACCUUGUUGUCAUCCAUAAAUGCCGUAACUAAUAAUUCAACAUUUAAGGUCAAAGGACAUCUACGGACGGGUGACUGCUGGAAAUUAUUUAUUAUUAUUAUUUAUUAUUAUAAUUUAAAAAACUGAUGAAAUAGUAUGUCACGGUUGUGAUAUGUUUAUUCCCCCUGCAGUUACAGCCCCUUUCUCUCUAAAAAUUGAUGAAAUAUUGCAAUA